rnacentral:rRNA from 1 species
CUCUUUUAGUAGGGAAGAAGCGAAAGUGACGGUACCUGCAGAAAAAGCACCGGCUAACUACGUGCCAGCAGCCGCGGUAAUACGUAGGGUGCAAGCGUUAUCCGGAAUUAUUGGGCGUAAAGAGCUCGUAGGCGGUUUGUCGCGUCUGCUGUGAAAACUGGGGGCUCAACCCCCAGCCUGCAGUGGGUACGGGCAGACUAGAGUGCGGUAGGGGAGAUUGGAAUUCCUGGUGUAGCGGUGGAAUGCGCAGAUAUCAGGAGGAACACCGAUGGCGAAGGCAGAUCUCUGGGCCGUAACUGACGCUGAGGAGCGAAAGCAUGGGGAGCGAACAGGAUUAGAUACCCUGGUAGUCCAUGCCGUAAACGUUGGGAACUAGAUGUAGGGUCCAUUCCACGGAUUCUGUGUCGCAGCUAACGCAUUAAGUUCCCCGCCUGGGGAGUACGGCCGCAAGGCUAAAACUCAAAGGAAUUGACGGGGGCCCGCACAAGCGGCGGAGCAUGCGGAUUAAUUCGAUGCAACGCGAAGAACCUUACCAAGGCUUGACAUAUACCGGAAAAGGCUGGAAACAGUCUCCCCGCAAGGUCGGUAUACAGGUGGUGCAUGGUUGUCGUCAGCUCGUGUCGUGAGAUGUUGGGUUAAGUCCCGCAACGAGCGCAACCCUCGUUCUAUGUUGCCAGCACGUAAUGGUGGGAACUCAUAGGAGACUGCCGGGGUCAACUCGGAGGAAGGUGGGGAUGACGUCAAAUCAUCAUGCCCCUUAUGUCUUGGGCUUCACGCAUGCUACAAUGGCCGGUACAAAGGGCUGCAAUACCGUAAGGUGGAGCGAAUCCCAAAAAGCCGGUCUCAGUUCGGAUUGAGGUCUGCAACUCGACCUCAUGAAGUCGGAGUCGCUAGUAAUCGCAGAUCAGCAACGCUGCGGUGAAUACGUUCCCGGGCCUUGUACACACCGCCCGUCAAGUCAUGAAAGUCGGUAACACCCGAAGCCAGUGGCCCAACCGCAAGGAGGGAGCUUCGAAG